rnacentral:rRNA from 1 species
GCAGAGAACUUUCCAGAGAUGGAUUGGUGCCUUCGGGAACUCUGACACAGGUGCUGCAUGGCUGUCGUCAGCCCGUGUCGUGAGAUGUUGGGUUAAGUCCGUAACGAGCGCAACCCUUGUCCUUAGUUACCAGCACGUUAUGGUGGGCACUCUAAGGAGACUGCCGGUGACAACCGGAGGAAGGUGGGGAUGACGUCAAGUCAUCAUGGCCCUUACGGCCUGGGCUACACACGUGCUACAAUGGUCGGUACAAAGGGUUGCCAAGCCGCGAGGUGGAGCUAAUCCCAUAAAACCGAUCGUAGUCCGGAUCGCAGUCUGCAACUCGACUGCGUGAAGUCGGAAUCGCUAGUAAUCGUGAAUCAGAAUGUCACGGUGAAUACGUUCCCGGGCCUU